UCUGAUGUUCGUGGUUGUAAACGUGUCCUCAAACGCCUCUCUGACUCCUUCCUUCCUGCUCAAAGUUCCUCUUUUCUGACCUUGGUGUUUGUGACUGAUGCUGAUCGUCUCCGUGUGAAGCUCCGUGUGAAGGCAACGUUAGCAGUGUGUAAUGUUUCCUGGCUAACAUCAGCUGUGUGCAGCUCAGUUCCAGCACAAAUCUGCCGCUCCAUAGUUCACGGUAACGGACUCAUGAGGCCGACCGUUAAACGCUCUCCCGCCAUUUUGUCUGCGCUGAUGUGAACGGAGAGUUUGAUCUUCAUCACAUGAUGUUCGUCUGUCUCUGCAUCUGUUUCUCUGACUGCAGCUGUGUUUGGAACAUCCAAUCCUCCAACACAUUAACUCUGCUGAUCCUCUUUGAAUCCUGGAUCAGGAAGUUGAAUAUUUGGUCUUUAAGUUUCUGUCUUUAACUCAGUCUUACUUGGAGCUUCAUGAGUGCAGCUCCUGUUCAGACAGGUGUUCACAGGGAAUCGAUCAGGUAUUAAUGACCUUCCUGUUCCACAUGUGUAAAUGUGCACAUUGCUGUUUGUGCCACGUGAUGCUGCAGGAUCUGUUAACAUGAUGGUAACAUCUGCUCUAACAGCAGCUGUCACAGAGUGUUUGUCAAACGCCUCUCUGGCUGUUUCCUUCCUGUUCAGAGUUUACUUUCACUUCCUGAACUUUGUGUCUCUGACUGAUGCUGAUCGUCUCCGUGUGAAGCUCCGUGUUGAGGUGAAGGUAGAAAGUGUGUGUGAGCUGAAUUGAGCAGCAUGGAUCAGUGUGAGGAC